UCAACUGGUUGCAUUUGCUUAAGCUGAGAGAAAGGACCUGAGAACUUUAACCCAGUGGAAAGAGGCUCAGGGAAGUAGCAGCAAUGAAUUGAAUGAAGCGGUAUGUGGCUGCUGUUUUUAGGGUUCCUGGGUCAGAACCCAGAGCAAUUGGCAGGCCCAGGUUUCCCCACUGGUCACUGACAAAGUGGAGGAAACCCUGAAAAGGGGACAAGGCUUGUUGGAAAGCCCAAGAAAAGGGCUGAAUUUAAAGGGCUCAGAGCCGGGGCUAAACACCCAGUUGAGACAAACAGUUUUUGUUGGACUCUUUGCUACCCUGGAAGGGGUUCAUUUUGACUUUACGGCCCAGCUGGAGGGCCAAGCCACAAAAGACCUGCCAAGUGAGGUUGACCAUCUACAGGAGGUGCCAGGAGUGGGAAAAGGACUGCAGUACUGCAUGCAGUAGCAGGAGGCACUCAAGAGGGCUGGUGUCAGCAAUCCAAGUUAGGAUGGGUCUUGUGACCAGGAAAUCAGAACAGGCUACAACUGGUUGCAUGAACCUCUACAUCAACAACAAUUCUAGAGUCUCUGAUGCUUUCAGCAUAUCAGGACCAAAUACGUCCUUCAAGAGCUGCUUAAGCUAAAGAUGAUAGACUGGAGAAUUGAGUGGUUUCAGAAGUGCUUUCUUGGAUCAAUCGAUAACGCUUGCUAAUAUCGUACUCAGAAUCAUCUAAGGAAAAGUGACUCCCAAAACAGCUACAGAUCAGGAAAUACUUCCUCAUUAUUACCACCAGAAACCAUGAAUGAACCCACUGGAAAAGAAAAACAAACAAAAAAUAUUGUUACAUAAAACAGAAAUGUGUCCAGAUCAAAUUCCACAACAGGUGCACAUUUCUUUCUGCAGGUAGUUAGUGUAAAAAAUCAAAGCAUUUUUCUUCAUGUUCCAUUUUAUAAUUAUUCAUGUUAUAUCUGUAUUUUAGUAAAUAAAUGCAAAA